rnacentral:rRNA from 1 species
GACGAACGCUGGCGGCGUGCCUAACACAUGCAAGUCGAACGGAACUGUUUUGAAAGAUUUCUUCGGAAUGAAUUUGAUUUAGUUUAGUGGCGGACGGGUGAGUAACGCGUGAGUAACCUGCCUUCAAGAGGGGGAUAACAUUCUGAAAAGAAUGCUAAUACCGCAUGACAUAUCGGAACCACAUGGUUCUGAUAUCAAAGAUUUUAUCGCUUGAAGAUGGACUCGCGUCCGAUUAGUUAGUUGGUGAGGUAACGGCUCACCAAGACCGCGAUCGGUAGCCGGACUGAGAGGUUGAACGGCCACAUUGGGACUGAGACACGGCCCAGACUCCUACGGGAGGCAGCAGUGGGGGAUAUUGCGCAAUGGGGGCAACCCUGACGCAGCAACGCCGCGUGAAGGAUGAAGGUUUUCGGAUUGUAAACUUCUUUUAUUAAGGACGAAACUUGACGGUAC